AUGAAAGAAAGGUAGACGAUGCAGAAAGAGAGAGAGAGAGAGAGAGACAGAGAAAGGUGUUCAGUUGAAAGCUACGAAACGUCGGAAUGCUACUGAUAUAUCAUCAUUUGAUGGCCGAUGGCGUCCUGUGUUGAAACCGAUGACACCAAGUACUUCGCUCCUCGAGAUGAAAGCUGCUACUUUUCUCUCCACUGGUCGGAUAGUAGAGAAACUUAUAGGUAAUAGAACAGCCACCGUUCUGAUCUAUCUUUACGAGCUUUAACUUUCAUGACUGAAAUACAUUUCCAAAAAACGCUUGGUUUCUAUGGGUUGAAGAACAGAAAGUUGACAAGUUGUAGAAUGGCAAGAAUGAUCUACAACUGCCGCCUCCCCCUUUAUAUUCUACAAUCAACACUAAUAACAAAGAACUAACUAAUCAACCAGUUUCGCUCCCUUUUUUUUUUUUUUUCAAGAAAAAAACAAACAAACAAACACAGAGAACCAUUCGAUUGUGAAUGUAUGUGUGUUUGUGUUUUUGGGUGUUUGUUUGUAUAUGUCGUUUUUUUUUCUUCUCUGUUUGCCAGACAAUCAAUGGUCUGUCUACACAUUCCUUUUGUAACUUUACUUUUUUCCUCGUCUCUCUCCUCCCUCUCAGCUGAGGACAAAAAAAAAAAAACAAAGUGUCAGCAGACUUCCCUUUUUCACUGAGUAUAGUUUCAAGAGUCUACUGAAGUGCUUUUGAUUGACACUUCUUCUGCUUCGUUUUCAUGUAACCGUCUUCAUCACAACAAAACUAUAAGACAACAAAUGUACGACACAGGACUAAAAACAACAGCAGUAGCAGCAGCAACCGAUGUACUACACGUAAGACUAACCAACAAACAAUAGAAGGAAAUACAGCAAUACUUGAACGAGUUUUUCGUCAUCCUGGCCAUUCCUAUAUUUACGCCUCUGUCUCUUUAAUGUUGAUUUGUCUUUAAGAUCACAGCGGGGCCGCACCACCUCAACAUGACAGUUUCAACAGGAAGUGGGGCCUCCACAUUAUCUCUACCAUCUACGAAUUUUGGGAUUACAUGGAAAACUUUUGUUGCAGGAGGUAUUGCUGGAUGCUGUGCAAAAACUACAGUUGCUCCACUGGACAGAGUGAAAAUCUUGCUUCAAGCCCACAACCGACAUUAUCGACACCUAGGUGUUUUUUCUUCCUUACAACAUGUCAUUCAUAAAGAAGGUUUUCUGGGGCUCUACAAAGGAAAUGGUGUUCAGAUGCUACGGAUUUUCCCAUAUUCUGCUAUUCAGUUUGGUGCUUAUGAAGAAUUUAAAAAGAUUCUCAAGUCGGUUACAAAUUGUCACACUCACAUUGUCAAGCUGACGGCUGGAUCCUUAGCAGGUAUGGUGGCGCUAGUGGUUACUUAUCCUCUGGAUGUGGUACGAUCUCGUUUAGCUUUCCAAGUGAAAGGUGAACAUCUUUAUGUCGGCAUCGUAGACACGAUGAAGUCAAUUAUCCAUCUGGAAGGUGGAACCACUGCACUUUACAAAGGCAUGGUGCCCUCAAUACUGGGUAUUUCACCAUAUGCUGGUUUAUCUUUCACAUGUUUCGAGAUAAUGAAAAACUUGUGUUUAGACUAUUUUCCUGAUACUCUUGGAAGACCCUGCCAGAAAACAACGGGUGGGAUUAUUCUUAUUCUUCCUGCCAAAUUGCUCUGCGGUGCUUGGGCUGGAGUUAUCGCCCAGACAACAGCUUCACUAAGAAGAGGUUAUUCCUCUUUAGUGAGGGUCUCGGAUGGAUUUUGAACUCGGAACACACAAAGCUGGAAUAGACACCACACCACAACACAUCCCCACAGAUGCUCUACCAAUUCUGCCAAUCCACCGUCCUGGGGCUGGUACUUUGUUUAUCAACCCCAAAAUGAUGAAAGGUAAAGUUGUCAUCGGCAGUAUUAGAACCAGGGACAAUACUCACACAGCGUUUAAUCUGAUGCUUCAUUGACUCUGUCAAUUCACCACCUAAAAUGUGCGAUGUAUGCACUCUUGUGCAUGUGUUUUACAGCUAUAUACUCACAUACAUCUAUCCAUUGGAUGUUGUCAGACGGCGAAUGCAACUGUCCCGAAUGUUACCAGAAUCCCACAAAUAUGAUCAAGGUUGGCUGCGGACAUUG
rnacentral:misc_RNA from 1 species